rnacentral:ncRNA from 1 species
UCGGGAGGGAAGCGGAUGGGGGCCGGCGAUGCGCCCCGGUCGGAUGUGGAACGGUGUUGAGCUAGUCCGCCGAUCGACUCGGGGCAUGGACCAGCGUGGAUUGGGGGGGCGGCCAAAGCCCGGGCUUUUGAUACGCUCGUGGAAUGCCGUCACCUUGAUUGUGGUCUCUGGCAUGCUUCGGCAUCUGCGCGCUCCGGACGCUGGCCUGUGGGCUCCCUAUUCGACCCGUCUUGAAACACGGACCAAAGAGUCUGACAUGUGUACGAGUCAACGGGCGAGUAAACCCGUAAGGUGAAAGGAAGCUGAUUGGUGGGAUCCCCCUGAGGGGUGCACCGCCGACCGACCUUGAUCUUCUGUGAAGGGUUCGAGUGUGAGCAUACCUGUCGGGACCCGAAAGAUGGUGAACUAUGCCUGAGCGGGGCGAAGCCAGAGGAAACUCUGGUGGAGGCCCGCAGCGAUACUNUCGAUUAAAGUCCGUUCAGCCUUAAGAAAGGUCUGUUCGAAUCCAAGUAAGGUUUUGAUUGUUUUCAAGGUUUAAGGUGAGUUUCUUUCUUUUCUUUAUCUGUUUUGGUCCAUCUGAUUGUGGUAAAGGUCUGUUCAUGUUUUGAUUUUGUGUCUUUGAAUUUUUUCAACUGUGCCCUGUCCACUUUGCCUGAACCUCUGUUUGUUUGAAUGAGUCUUUCUAUUUGCU